GUGCAAGUCCAGAAUAGAAACUGCGGAGCCACUUUUAACAAACUGUUCACUGAAAUGAACUAAAAAUAGUCCAGAUUGAACUUGUACAGACUCACCAUGGAUUUUGCACGCUGUCAAGUCCAUAGUUCUGGUAAUUGUGUGUAAUAUUUGGACAUUUUUUGACUGACUGGGACAAAUGCAGCUCAAGACAGCCUCAGGGAAGUCCGGCUGGUGCCAUGUGACUCCUCCGCUGAACCCGAGCCCCGUACGGUAUGUCAGCCGUCAUGUGGAGCCCGCACACCGGUAAGUGACACCGCCUGAGCCCGGUGACGUCCAACGGAGCAGCUCCACGUCGACUUUCCCGGCUCCUGGGGUAUUUCCCGCGUCUUAAAGUCAGACACGAGGGUUAAGGUUUGGAUUAGACUCUCGUUGGUGGGACUAGCGGCCAUAGUGACGGCUGCGAGCGUCUACCUGUACCUGCUGUCCACGCACCUUCCCCGGGGAGUGAGGGCGGGCGGGCCCGGGACAGAGCUGGAGGACGAGGAGCACGAGUACAGUUAUGAAGAGUGCGUCGGCCCUGGUGCGACCGAGAUCUACAUCCCCACAGAUGACCCUCCUCCUUACUCCCUAUUGGACCCAUGCCAAGAAGAGGCGGGGCAUGGGGAGGAGCCUAACCACACCCACCACAGCACCAGCACAGACAGCUCAGCCAGCACUUCCUGGUUCUCCCCCACCCCCCACUGCCUCUCGGGACAGCACAUCACCUCCCUUUCCUACCCCAUGGAGGAGGCCCCGCCCUACGAGUCCGUGCUGAUGGACUCGGGUCAGCCCCUCCCUCUUAUGCCAUGUGACCUUUACAAACACCAAUCAGAGGCCAGAGGGGAGGGCGGGGACGCACAGCUAGCAGAGACAAGUCAAAUCCUGUAGUGACUUUGCUACAUGGACGAUACGUGAAGGAGGACUGGGAUAUAGCCAGCACUGCAGUUUCUGAAGCGUUCUGAAAUUAUUCUUAUUCUAGUCUGUUUUUACAGCCUCAACUUUGACUGUUCUUUUGUAUCCUGUCAUGAACUACUGCUACAAUAAGUCUUUGUCAUAUUGUACAAGAUAGCUUUCUAGAAGUACGAAAAUUAGGAUUAAAGGUCACAUAUUAUGCUAAUUCACCUUAUGUGAGCGAGUGGAAUAAUGUUUUUUCUCCAUCAAUCAUAUACCUGCAUGUUUGGGUAAUCCUGCAAAAUCAGUGUCUCUCAAAAUGCCCUGGUUCACCUGGUGAUGUCAUUGGGUGGCUAACCAAGAAGUGAUACAUGUUUUAGUCCGAAACCCCUUCGCAAAAUCAAAGACUUCAUACACCUUCAGUGCCCAAAUUUGCCUUUACUCUUAUUUACACAGCUUAUUUCGGCCAGUAUUGCACCAACUACUGGAAAACGGUCAUUUUGUAUUCACAGAAAUAAUGACUGAAUUACUUUUACCAAUAUUUCAUUCCAUAUUGGUCAAACAUCAAUGCUAAUUUGCUUAAGAAUAGCUAAAUCAACAUUAAAAGGUGACCUUUAAAGACGAUAUGUUUUUCUAUGUAUUUAGAACUAAACCUGCAACUUAAUCAGACAUUUUAUGACCUAAAAUCUGUACGAGGCUGUGGGCGGGGAUAGGUGGCAGGAGAAAACAGAAUUUCACACUUCAAAUACACAAUACAGGAUUACUCAAAUAUGCAUGAAUCUCACAAUACAACUCCGAGUGAUCAACAUUAUAACUUACAAACUCACAAUAGUUGAUUUUACAUAAUAUGUCUCCUCUAAAGUUAAGCUAACAAGCACAGUGUUCUUCCCUGUGUCACUGCCCAUAGAACAUGACCCACAUGUUGGAGCCAUACUCCAUGUUUGAAUCCUCCUGUUCUGAAAACGUUUAGCGGGUUGCCUUGUUUGUGUGAUCCUGCGGUCCUUAGUGCGGCGGUCUUAGGAGUAGUAAAGCAUAGAAUGAGACCGUUGUGACAUUGUAAACGUGGUCCAGUUACUAGUAAGAGGUUGGCUUUUCGACGUUUUUAAAAAAUGAUGUAAUGUACAGUUUGGUAUAGCACAGUAGCGUGGUCUACGGAACAUUUUUGUUAAUUAAACCAAUGUACCCACA